UGAACCUCGUUCGCCAAAGCUUAUCCUGCGCCUCCAGCGAAAAUUAGCGCGGGCGCUAUCCAGUUAUUUUAGACCUCGAAGCCAAAUGGUGGCGAGGGGCUUCUCUUCCCAUUUUCCUCCCUACUUUUCUCUUCUCCUCUUUCCGAAAUCUCAGACGAUAAUAGGGUUUUUCUUUCGAAGAAAUUAGGCUUUACGGAUUCGAUCAUCGGAACCUUGAAUCGCCUCUGAACGACGAGAUUAAGAUUUCUGGAGUCCCUAGCUCUAUAAUCUCCGGGAAUGUGGGAACAUGGAGGUCGGUUCUACUCGGGGAGGAGGGAAGGGUUGGGAGGCAGGACGUGGAAGGAAUAGUGGUGGUGUUCGCGUGGCUCUCGAGCGAGGCGAGGGAUCUGAAGCCGUAUAUAGAUAUCUACUGGUCCCUCGGGUGGAGCUGCCUCGUCUGCCAUGCAGAUUUCCUCACCCUGAACUGGAGUAUAGGCCAUUGCCUAUUGUACUCGCAACUUUUUCUGGAGGUUCAAAAGGUUGCAUGUACAUGGUUCUUCAGUUGCUUGAGGGAGAAUGCGGUGGACAAGUUAGUCUGGAUGAUAUCAGCUUGUAAGAGGCUGCAUCUGCGGACAGAUAUAUUCAGAAGAUGAUGACCUUGCUCCCUACCAAAUCAUCUCUAGUUUUGCUCAGCAUAUGCAAGAGCUUGGUGGCAAUGUCAAGCUAAUGAAAUGGAACAACUCCUAUCAUAAUAUACCUUGGAAGAGGAGUUAACAGAGAAUAGUUGGUAUGAGUGCUGCACAUGCUUGAGAAUGAACAAUCCAUGUGAAGCUUUAUCUGUGUUUUAUUCCUAGCCGUGUAUACGGUGUAGGGACAAGUUCUAUAGAGCAUAUGCUGGCUGGUUGCUAGCAUAGUAUGGAAUCUAUGGAUUAUAUUGCCAUAUUGUCCUGACACUUGGCACAUGCUGACAUGAAAAUGAUGCACAAGACCACUAAAAUUGCAUUACUCGUAUCACCAAACUGAGUACAAGGAUGCUGUGUCUGAGAUGCUCGUUGGAGCAACUAUAACCUAUUCUCAGAGAAGGCAACUAAAUGGUGAAACACUGGGCACGGGAGGUGCAUGCAACAAGAUAUCAGAGUUUGCAGUCUUCAUGAAGCAACAGUGUGCUCAAGUGAGAGUGUUAGAAGGGUAGCUAUUGGUCCAAGUGACCAUUUCUUCUUGCCCAGCUCAAUGGAGUCUAGUGAAACUAAAGAUGCUGCGUCUUUGCUCAAGGAGCAGAUGGUGGAGUUGUUCCAUCUACCUAGUAUCAGUCCCAAAUCCAAUGGGAUUCUGGGCCAAGUCCUUGAAGAACAUCGAAAGGUUGGAGUAUUUAGACAGUGUUCUCCUUGAAUGGAAGGCAGAUGCAUGCUUCUUCUCAUAGGCAUGACCCUUUCAAUCCUCUCAAAUGCAUACGCCGCCCUAGAUUGUAAGGUGGAAACUCUGAUGAAUUUCAAUGUGAAUUUUGACUGCUACCAUUGUUCGGCCUUAGAUCCCUGGAUUUGCAGGAAGAGAAUGACAACUGUGCAGGAGCGAUGAGGCAUGUAAAUAUUCUGUUUAACCUUGUAGCUUUUUUCCCCCCUUGGCACAUAUUUUACGGUAGGCAUGAAUUGUUGAUAGUUAAUAACAGUGGGUAAUUAAUUUUAUAAAUGGGGCUACGUGGGAAGAGUUUGAAACUUCAUGCAUGACAGUUCUGGGCCUUAAAGAAAAGAUUUUUUGGUCGUUAGAACUUCAAGCCGCCAUGUGUAAGGGUUGUCCCGAAUGCCAAGCUUCCUGGGACCAACUUCUAGAAGUCUCAAGGAUCACAGAAUUUUCUCAUCUUUAUCUUGUAACCAUGAUUUUUAAGUCUUUGACCAAGAGAAUGCGUCAGCUCUUGGGCCAUAAUCUUGUAAUUAUUUCUCUCUAAAGGUAACAGUUGCCUGUUCUAUUGGCACCAACUUUCAUUGAUUCCUGAAAAAAAAAAAGUCUUCGCACUUGUAAUAA